GGUCUCUCACUGAUCCAACAGCACACU
rnacentral:piRNA from 1 species